rnacentral:rRNA from 1 species
GAGAGUUUGAUUCUGGCUCAGGAUGAACGCUGGCGGCGUGCUUAACACAUGCAAGUCGAGCGAAGCAUUAAAACCGAUUUCUUCGGAAAGAAGUUUUGAUGACUGAGCGGCGGACGGGUGAGUAACGCGUGGGUGACCUGCCUCAUACAGGGGGAUAACAGACAGAAAUGUCUGCUAAUACCGCAUAAGCGCACAGUGCUGCAUGGCACAGUGUGAAAAACUCCGGUGGUAUGAGAUGGACCCGCGUCUGAUUAGCUAGUUGGUAAGGUAACGGCUUACCAAGGCGACGAUCAGUAGCCGGCCUGAGAGGGUGAACGGCCACAUUGGGACUGAGACACGGCCCAAACUCCUACGGGAGGCAGCAGUGGGGAAUAUUGCACAAUGGGGGAAACCCUGAUGCAGCGACGCCGCGUGAAGGAAGAAGUAUUUCGGUAUGUAAACUUCUAUCAGCAGGGAAGAAAAUGACGGUACCUGACUAAGAAGCCCCGGCUAA